rnacentral:rRNA from 1 species
UCUUAUGAAGUUAGCGGCGGACGGGUGAGUAACACGUGGGUAACCUGCCCAUAAGACUGGGAUAACUCCGGGAAACCGGGGCUAAUACCGGAUAACAUUUUGAACCGCAUGGUUCGAAAUUGAAAGGCGGCUUCGGCUGUCACUUAUGGAUGGACCCGCGUCGCAUUAGCUAGUUGGUGAGGUAACGGCUCACCAAGGCAACGAUGCGUAGCCGACCUGAGAGGGUGAUCGGCCACACUGGGACUGAGACACGGCCCAGACUCCUACGGGAGGCAGCAGUAGGGAAUCUUCCGCAAUGGACGAAAGUCUGACGGAGCAACGCCGCGUGAGUGAUGAAGGCUUUCGGGUCGUAAAACUCUGUUGUUAGGGAAGAACAAGUGCUAGUUGAAUAAGCUGG